rnacentral:rRNA from 1 species
GACGAACUGUGCAAACGUUAUUCGGAAUCACUGGGCUUAAAGGGUGCGUAGGCGGUCUUGUAAGUAGGGUGUGAAAGCCCCCGGCUCAACCGGGGAACUGCGUCCUAAACUGCGAGGCUAGAGUGAGGUAGGGGUGUGUGGAACUUCCAGUGGAGCGGUGAAAUGUGUUGAUAUUGGAAGGAACGCCGGUGGCGAAAGCGACACACCGGACCUUGUCUGACGCUGAGGCACGAAAGCCAGGGGAGCAAACGGG